UACGUAGGGUGCAGGCGUUAAUCGGAAUUACUGGGCGUAAAGCGUGCGCAGGCGGUUUUAUAAGCCAGAUGUGAAAUCCCCGGGCUUAACCUUGGAACUGCAUUUGUGACUGCAUAGCUAGAGUACGGUAGAGGGGAAUGGAAUUCCGCGUGUAGCAGUGAAAUGCGUAGAUAUGACGGAGGAACACCGAUGGCGAAGGCAAUCCCCUGGACCUGUACUGACGCUCAUGCACGAAAGGCGUGGGGAGCAAACAGG
rnacentral:rRNA from 1 species